rnacentral:misc_RNA from 1 species
AGCAGCCGCGGUAAUUCCAGCUCCAAUAGCGUAUAUUAAAGUUGUUGCAGUUAAAAGCUCGUAGUUGAGUUUCGGAAUCAUCAGGUUGGUCGUGCCUCUGGUAUGUACUGGUCUCGAUGGUUCCUCCUUCUUGAAGAACCGUAAUGGCAUUAAUUUGUUGUUGCGGGGAAACAGGACUGUUACUUUGAAAAAUUAGAGUGUUUAAAGCAGGCAAUCGCUUGAAUACAUUAGCAUGGAAUAAUGAAAUAGGACGUUCGAUCCUAUUUUGUUGGUUUCUAGGAUUGACGUAAUGAUUAAUAGGGAUAGUUGGGGGCAUUAGUAUUCAAUUGUCAGAGGUGAAAUUCUUGGAUUUAUUGAAGACUAACUACUGCGAAAGCAUUUGCCAAGGAUGUUUUCAUUAAUCAAGACGAAAGUUAGGGAUCGAAGACGAUCAGAUAC